ensembl:rRNA 5S_rRNA 5S ribosomal RNA
AUCUACACCAUACCACCCUUAAUGUGCCCAAUCUUGCCUGAUCUCGGAAGCUGAGGGGGAUUGGGCCUGGGGAGUAGCAGGUGCUGUGGACU